rnacentral:rRNA from 1 species
GACGAACGCUGGCGGCGUGCCUAAUACAUGCAAGUUGAGCGCUGAAGGUUGGUACUUGUACCGACUGGAUGAGCAGCGAACGGGUGAGUAACGCGUGGGGAAUCUGCCUUUGAGCGGGGGACAACAUUUGGAAACGAAUGCUAAUACCGCAUAAAAACUUUAAACACAAGUUUUAAGUUUGAAAGAUGCAAUUGCAUCACUCAAAGAUGAUCCCGCGUUGUAUUAGCUAGUUGGUGAGGUAAAGGCUCACCAAGGCGAUGAUACAUAGCCGACCUGAGAGGGUGAUUGGCAACAUUGGGACUGAGACACGGCCCAAACUCCUACGGGAGGCAGCAGUAGGGAAUCUUCGGCAAUGGACGAAAGUCUGACCGAGCAACGCCGCGUGAGUGAAGAAGGUUUUCGGAUCGUAAAACUCUGUUGGUAGAGAAGAACGUUGGUGAGAGUGGAAAGCUCAUCAAGUGACGGUAACUACCCAGAAAGGGACGGCUAACUACGUG